UAUUCCAGAAAGCUUGGUUAACUUACCAUUUGAUAAACUAUAACCUCUGGGUUGAUUUACCCCAAACAGGCAUACCAUGAGUAUGUCGGUUCCAAAACACCUGAGAAGAGUUAGCUUAAUCAACCUCUGACUGGUUACCCAGAGUUAAUGCGCGUGCACGGUGCAUGUAUAAAGACAUUUUCAAUGGAUCGCCGAUUUCACGAGUCACCAUGGAAACUCAAAGCGAAAAAAAGAGAGCCGCGUAUUUCACAGAGGCGGAGUUGGAAGUUUUAAUGCAUGCUUAUGAGGAGUUUAAGCCAAUAAUAUUAAAAAGAAGCAAUACAGCUGCAUCGGCUAAAGCAAGAGAGUUGGCUUGGCAAAAAAUAACGGACAGAGUAAAUGCGUGUAAUCCUUCUGGAGCCACAAGAACUUUAAGCCAAGUCAAAAUGAAACACAAAAACAUUCUGCAAAAAGCUAACAGAAAAAAGACUGAAGCCCGUCUAACUGGCGGGGGGCCACCACCACCUCCCCUCACCCCAUCUGAGGACCUGGCUCUGUCCCUUAAUAAAGGGCGACCAGUGGUUGCUGGCAUUCCAGGGGGCAGUUCAUCACACAUACUAUGCACCACAAGUGAUGGUGAAAAAAGGGUGAAAUGUAAGUUUACCUCUAUGAUUUGUUUUCAUUUUUUAUCCUGAUAAAUUACUAUCUCUGUCACUUAAAGGCUUUUUGAACAAGAUUAAUUUAUGUAGGCUUAUUUUAUUUAACUGCAUAUGAUGUAUUAUUUUCUUUGAUAAUAUUGAGAAUUUAACGGGUUGUGUGUUCUUAUAGAUACUGAUGGACGGAUUGUAUUAUUGGACUCUCCAGAAAGAACACAGUCUGUCACAGUUGUAAGUGAUUUGUUGUCAGGUACUUUUAGGUUUUUUUUUUUUUUGCCAAAUAAUGUAUACUUGAAUAUUUGUCUUGUAGGGUGAAGAUGAUGAUGACGAUGAAGAGACCACAUCUGCUGUGACAGAAGUGGACAAUGCUGGUAGAUCCACUGAGUACAUACCUAGGGAUUUGCCCACAGAUGAGGGUCCUUCAGCCUCAGCACACAAUCUAAGCAGGUUGCCAGCAAAGGAGCUGUAUAAGGUCCAUCUUCAAAAACAAAUAAGAAAAAGUGACAUGGAGAUGGACCUUAUACAGCUUCAAAUGGAAGAGAAAAGGCUCCUCAUUAAAAAAGCAGCACUUGAAAUAGAAUUACUUGAGAAUCGCCUUAAGGAAAUGAAGAAAUAAACUGCCUGGCAGACCAGUGCAAAAAAAACUAAUAAAAGUAAUUUUGACAAAUCCUGUCUCUCAAAAGUCUUCCGUCUCUGUUGGCCUCUAAAAUCUGUCGGUGUUCCUCUGG